AACAAAGCCAUUGAGGCUGCUCUGGCUGCCCGGAAAGAGUGGGACCUGAAGCCUAUUGCAGACCGGGCCCAGAUCUUCCUGAAGGCGGCAGACAUGCUGAGUGGGCCGCGCAGGGCUGAGAUCCUCGCCAAGACCAUGGUGGGACAGGGUAAGACCGUGAUCCAAGCGGAGAUCGACGCUGCAGCGGAACUCAUCGACUUCUUCCGGUUCAAUGCCAAGUAUGCGGUGGAGCUGGAGGGGCAGCAGCCCAUCAGCGUGCCCCCGAGCACCAACAGCAUGGUGUACCGGGGUCUGGAGGUACCUGCAGGAGGCAUCGGGCGAGCAGGCGGGGCAGCCCAAUGCCAUGGGCCUGAUCUCACCGCUGCCUCCUUCCCCAGGGCUUCGUGGCGGCCAUCUCGCCCUUUAACUUCACUGCAAUCGGCGGCAACCUGGCGGGGGCACCGGCCCUGAUGCUUCGAGAGGGAGUUGUGACUCUGCCUCUUUGCCAGAUGACAAAACUGAGACACACAGCCGUGACUUACUUGGCAAGACUGAGUGACUAGUAAAUAAAUGAUGGAGCAGAGAA
rnacentral:sRNA from 1 species